rnacentral:rRNA from 1 species
CAUGCAGUCGAACGGAGUGCUUCGGCACUUAGUGGCGGACGGGUGAGUAANGCGNUGAGAAUCUGCCUUCAGGACGGGGACAACGACUGGAAACGGUCGCUAACACCCGAUGAGCCGAGAGGUAAAAACUUUAGUGCCUGAAGAAGAGCUCGCGUCGGAUUAGCUAGUUGGUGAGGUAAGAGCUUACCAAGGCGACGAUCCGUAGCUGGUCUGAGAGGAUGAUCAGCCACACUGGGACUGAGACACGGCCCAGACUCCUACGGGAGGCAGCAGUGGGGAAUUUUCCGCAAUGGGCGCAAGCCUGACGGAGCAACGCCGCGUGCGGGAGGAAGGCCCUUGGGUUGUAAACCGCUUUUGUCAGGGAAGAAGCUCUGACGGUACCUGANUAAUCAGCAUCGGCUAACUCCGUGCCAGCAGCCGCGGUAAUACGGAGGAUGCAAGCGUUAUCCGGAAUCAUUGGGCGUAAAGCGUCCGCAGGUGGUUAAACAAGUCUGCAGUCAAAGCGUGGGGCUUAACUCCAUAUCGGCUGUGGAAACUGUUUGACUAGAGUACGGUAGGGGUCGCGGGAAUUCCCAGUGUAGCGGUGAAAUGCGUAGAUAUUGGGAGGAACACCAGCAGCGAAGGCGCGCGACUGGGCCGUAACUGACACUGAGGGACGAAAGCCAGGGGAGCGAAAGGGAUUAGAUACCCCUGUAGUCCUGGCUGUAAACGAUGGAUACUAGGUGUUGCACGUAUCGACCCGUGCAGUGCCGUAGCUAACGCGUUAAGUAUCCCGCCUGGGGAGUACGCACGCAAGUGUGAAACUCAAAGGAAUUGACGGGGGCCCGCACAAGCGGUGGAGUAUGUGGUUUAAUUUCGAUGCAACGCG